UAUGUACUCCCUCCGUCCGGAAUUACUUGUCAUCAAAAUGGAUGUGUCUAUAACUAAAAUACAUCUAGAUACAUCCAUUUCAAUGACAAGUAUUUCCGGACGAAGGGAGUACAUC
rnacentral:pre_miRNA from 1 species